GCCAAGAUGGCCGAAUAGGAACAGCUCCGGUCUACAGCUCCCAGCGCGAGCCACGCAGAGACGGGUGAUUUCUGCAUUUCCAUCUGAGGGAAGCAGUGGCCCUGUCUAUUAGAGAGAAAGGAACUCUAGAGGGUGGAAAAGAAUAGGAAACACCUGAAUGUCAUAAAAGACCACUUGGAAACUGGCAGCUAUGAGAUGCAGAGCUCUGGAAUGGUCUUUGGAGUCAGCAGAACUGCGUUCCCAUCCUGGCAAUGCCACUUACACCCAGG